rnacentral:rRNA from 1 species
UUGAACGCUGGCGGCAGGCCUAACACAUGCAAGUCGAGCGGAAACGAUGGAAGCUUGCUUCCAGGCGUCGAGCGGCGGACGGGUGAGUAAUGCAUAGGAAUCUGCCCGGUAGUGGGGGAUAACUUGGGGAAACCCAAGCUAAUACCGCAUACGCCCUACGGGGGAAAGCAGGGGAUCUUCGGACCUUGCGCUAUCGGAUGAGCCUAUGUCGGAUUAGCUAGUUGGUGAGGUAAUGGCUCACCAAGGCCGCGAUCCGUAGCUGGUCUGAGAGGAUGAUCAGCCACAUCGGGACUGAGACACGGCCCGAACUCCUACGGGAGGCAGCAGUGGGGAAUAUUGGACAAUGGGCGAAAGCCUGAUCCAGCCAUGCCGCGUGUGUGAAGAAGGCCCUCGGGUUGUAAAGCACUUUCAGUGAGGAAGAACGCUUGUGGGUUAAUACCCUGCAAGGAAGACAUCACUCACAGAAGAAGCACCGGCUAACUCCGUGCCAGCAGCCGCGGUAAUACGGAGGGUGCGAGCGUUAAUCGGAAUUACUGGGCGUAAAGCGCGCGUAGGCGGCUUGAUAAGCCGGUUGUGAAAGCCCCGGGCUCAACCUGGGAACGGCAUCCGGAACUGUCAGGCUAGAGUGCAGGAGAGGAAGGUAGAAUUCCCGGUGUAGCGGUGAAAUGCGUAGAGAUCGGGAGNAAUACCAGUGGCGAAGGCGGCCUUCUGGACUGACACUGACNCUGAGGUGCGAAGCGUGGGUAGCAAACAGGAUNANAUACCCUGGUAGUCCACGCCGUAAACNAUGUCGACUAGCCGUUGGGUCCUNGA